AUGAGGCUGGCACCGGGAGCACGGCAGGAAGGACCAAGGCUCGGUCCGGGGCUCAGACCGGAGCAGGGCGGGACGGACCCGGUUCCGGUCUCCGUUCGCUCCCGGACCCGGUCUCGGUUCGCUCCCGGUCUCGGAUCGGGGUUCAGACCGGGGACAGGGCGGGAUGGACCCGGUUCCGGUCUCGGUUCGCUCCCAGACCCGGUCUCGGAUCGCUCCCGGUCCCGGUCUCGGAUCGCUCCCGGUCUCGGUUCGCUCCCGGUCCCGGUCUCGGUUCGCUCCCGGUCCCGGUCUCGGAUCGAUCCCGGUCCCGGUCUCGGAUCGCUCCCGGUCUCGGGUCGCUCCCGGUCCCGGUCUCGGAUCGCUCCCGGUGUCGGUUCGCUCCCGGUCCCGGUCUCGGAUCGCUCCCGGUCUCGUAUCGCUCCCGGUCCCGGCACGCGGCUGAGCCGGGGCGGGGGCGUGGCCAGGUCGGCUCAGCGGGCGGAGUCACGCCAGGCCCCGCCCAGUCGGGGCCGAGCGCCACGCGGCCGGGCCCUGGCAGCGGCGGGGCCCUCAGCGCCCGUCCCGGGCUGCCCGCGCUGCCGCCUGCUCGCGGGACGGCCCCGCCGUGGCCCGAGGAGCCGCCCCUGCCGGUCUGACCGGUCCGACCGGCUCCUCCGCCCUGCCCGGCUCGGUCGCCGCCCGCUCCGAGCGGCCGUGCCCCGCGGCGGUGCGGGCCGGGGGGGCGCGCCGGGACCGGCGGCGCCGCGGGCAGUCCCGGGGCAGCCGGUCGGUGUGGGGGGCGGUGGGAGCGGGACGGGAGAGCGGCCGGUACGGGGGGCGCAGGACGGGGGGGGGCUCGGCCGGGCCCAGGGCUCGGGAGGAGGGGCGCGGCACGGGACGACUCGACCGGACCCGGGCCUCGGGGGUGCGAUGGGGUCCAGAGGGGGCUGUGGGGGGAUCCCGGAGAGGAGGGGGCUCUGUGGGGGCAGCGUCAGAGCGCUGCCCUGUAGGGGAGGGGGCUCUGUGGGUGCUCCGGGCUGUGUCCUAUAG
rnacentral:lncRNA from 1 species